rnacentral:lncRNA from 1 species
CAUAUCCCUAAAGGUACACUCUGUCAGCAUCACCCAACCCACCACAUAUCCUUAAAGUACACUCUGUCAGCAUCACCAAACCCAACCACAUAUCCCUAAAGUACACUCUGUCAGCAUCACCCAACCCAACCACAUAUCCAAGGUACCUCUGUUCAGCAUCACCCAACCACACAUCCCUCAAGGUACACUCUGUCAGCAUCACCCAACCCAACCACAUAUCCCUAAGGUACCCUCUGUCCAGCAUCACCAAACCACACAUCCCUAAAGGUACACUCUGUCAGCAUCACCCAACCACACAUCCCUCAAGGUACACUCUGUCAGCAUCACCCAACCCAACCACAUAUCCCUAAAGGUACACUCUGUCAGCAUCACCCAACCACACAUCCCUAAAGGUAACUCUGUCAGCAUCACCCAACCACACAUCCUAAAGGUACACUCUGUCAGCAUCUACCCAACCACACAUCCCUCCAAGGUACACUCUGUCAGCAUACCCCAACCACACAUCUCAAGGUACACUCUGUCAGCAUCACCCAACCACACAUCCCUAAAGGUACCACUCAUUGUCAGCAUCACCCAACCCAACCACAUAUCCCUCAAGGUACACUCUGUCAGCAUCACCCAACCCAACCAACAUUCCCUAAAGGUACACUCUGUCAGCAUCACCAACCCAACCACAUAUCCCUAAAGGUACACUCUGUCAGCAUCACUCACCAACCCAACCACUAUCCCUAAAGGUACACUCUGUCAGAUCACCCAACCCAACCACAUAUCCUAAAGGUACACAGGAACAAUCUUUAAUUCAUUAGCCUAGUUAUUGGCAGUCAUCCAACUUAAGGGAUAAUGGAUAUCAUCAACAGCAUUUAGAGUUGAUUAUUGAGCCCAAAUGAUUACUAGAGCCAGUCACACUGAAAUGAUCAUAGAACAGUCACACUAACUGAAUGAUACUAGAACCAGUCGCACUAACUGAAAUGAUUACUAGAACCCAGUCACACUAACUGAAAUGAUUACUGAACCAGCGCCAUUACUAACUGAAAUGCUCACUAGAACCAGUCGCACUAACUGAAAAUGAUCACUAGAACCAGUCCACUAACUGAAAUGAUUUACUAGACACCAGUACGCACUAACUGAAAUGAUUACAGAACCAGUCCACACUAACUGAAAUGAUUACUAGAACCAGUCACACUAACUGAAAUGAUUCUAGAACCAGUACCACUAACUGAAAUGAUUACUAGAACGUCACACAUAACUGAUAAGAUUACUAGAAACCAGUCACAAUAACUGAAAUGAUUUACUAGAACCAGUCACACUAACUGAAAUGAUCACAGAGCCAGUCACACUAAUGAAAGCUAAUAAACCAGUCCCACUAACUGAAAGUCUGACCAAUGAUCACUAGAACCAGUCACCCACUAACUGAAAUGAUUACUAGAAACCAGUCACUAACUGAAAUGAUUACUAGAACCAGUCACCACUAAUGAAAUGAUUACUAGACCAGUCACACUACUGAAAUGAUUACUAGAACCAGUCAACUAACUGAAAU